CUGUGAGAUACAGCCUGUUUCUCUCAAACUACUGAACUACAGUCACUACAAACCCGCUCUACCUGUGUUUCCCAGUCCAGGACCCACAGAGGACGAUACCUUUCCCUGAUUUAGAGUAAAACAGGCUGGUUUGGGCUCAGGCCUCGAUGCUCCGCCUCCUGAUGACGGCUCAUCCAGCGCUGAAGACUAUGAGAACAUAACAGCUUAAAAUGAGAAAACAUCCCGGAUUUUCCACGUGGUCUCAGACGUUUGGACCCCAAAAGCACAAGAUUCUCUUCUUUUAAGAUGGAAUUUGCAUCAUAUGCUUCACUCAGUAAGAUCACUCAUUAAAAUGCCAUCAAUCUG